AGACUGCAAUCUACAUGAUUAGAGAGAUGCAUUUUCAUCACUGUGAGUUAUGAUGCGAAGUAAAAGAUCACUGUUGCAAUACUGCUGACUUUUUCAAGUGAAACAAAGUCAGUACUCGGUUAAGUCUUGUGCAAAAGUACUUUUACACACUACCCAUCCAAGAACUGAUCUGCUCAGUGACUUGUAAGCCCUGGGUUAUAAGGUGGUCAAACUAGAAGUACUUCGAAGCAACAACUACAAGGUUCUUGAGACUUUUAAAGAUUUGACUGAAGAAUACCUUAAAACUUUGAGUGUUUCCAACCACUCACUCUGGCAGCUUUCCCAGUCAUCCACUUCUACC